rnacentral:misc_RNA from 1 species
AUAGUUUUUAUUGCCGCUAUACGUCUCGCAAGGGUGGGUGAGUCUCGAGUCUCGAGUCCGGUUUUGAGGUUAGGGUUAGUGACUCAGUGACACUGGAAACGGCGGUUACAAGUUCUCAUGUGUGCACAACGACACGGAAAAAACGAAACUGUCUUAUCCUUUUCGAUGAUCCAGUGACAAGACAAACGUCUACGUGAAGUUGUGUUGUAAAAUUUUAAAGAAAUUCGUGCGUUAAAAAUAUAUUAGCGAGAGAAUGAUGCGCGCUCUUGUAGUUGAUCUGUUUAUACCUUAUGUAUCAGUAAAGUCUUCUGGAACAAGGGAAUCUACAUACUUUAAGCGGUCUAAAAAUAGCCGUUGCUUCCACUGAGGUUCGUAGACCUUUUCAUUCCUCGAACGUGAUUGCGGAGGCGGUCGAUGGUUUGAGUAUAUAUCUCUCGAAAUCGAUUAAUGAAUCGCGAUGCAACACGUGACUUAACGAUCCAUCGUGUUGGUUCUAUAUGUUUGACGCGAGUUCAAAGACCCAAGAACGUCUCGUUGCCAAAAUUCGAAAGAUUUACAUUGAUUUUAAUACGAUAAUUGUGUUCUGAAAGAUGUACCUGUGCAACGAAAAAAGCUCGAGAUGCGAGUAGCGUUAUAAUCAAUUUCUGAACGUGACAAGGAGAAAACGUAAGAAAAGAUGGACACGAAACAGCGGUAUAGUGUGCUGAUAAUUCGUUACAAUGGAUAAACAAAAGAUAAAGUGAAAAUGUCACAAACUGCGGAUGCUGAAAGUGAAGCAGGCUCCAUCUGCGACGAGGAACGCGUCAGGAAGCUGUUUCAAGCAUGCGACGGCGACGGAGAUGGUUUUAUCGACAGUCAGGAUCUGCUGACGGUAUGCAGGGAACUGAAUCUGGAGAACUCGGUGGAGGAGUUAAUGAGAGAAUUGGGGGCGGACGAGCACGGUCGCAUUUCCUAUCAAGAGUUCCUGAGGUGCCGGUUGGCCCUACGACCGGAGAUCGAGGCCCUCAGGUCCGGCAAGCACAGAACUAGUCCCCACCACACGCACACGCCCGAAUACCUGCCGACGAGCAGCGACAACAGCCUCGGCACCAUAUCCGGGCGGCAUGAACGCUGGGAAUUCGACAGCGGGGCACGCGAUCUCUCACCGGAGCCCCACACUCUGCAGAAACUGGUGGAAGCUGCCGCGGGAGGGACUGGCAACAUGCUGGACUUGGCAAACAAGCUGCACGCGGCCGCCCUAUCAUCGUUGCGGUCCGAGGUGGCCGAGUUGAAUGCGAGGUUGGUGGCGGAGACACGAGCCAGGGANNNGACCGAGGCGGCUUUGGUCCGCGCGGAGCUUCAGGCGGCGCGAGCGGAACAGAAGGUGGAGCAACAAGCGGCGAGGCACGAGGAGCGGCUCACCGAGUUACAUUCCGUGAUCGCCGAGCUUGGCAGGCAGCUCGAGAGGCAUCGAGCUACCGUAAUUGCCGAGGAGGAUGAGUCUGAGAUAGAAACGAGCAGAGACGCGGAGGGAUCUAUCACUAAUCCUGUCGAAGAGAGCGAAGGCGGAGGUGACAUUCAGGGGGAUGGAGAUCGUACCUUAGGCGAUGCCGAUUCCAGCUGCUGCGAGGACAUCGAGCCACGUACUGUCGAGAAUGGCAGAGAGCAAUUGGACAGUCCGGCGGCGUUACCAACGCCGGAACCGACACAACAGGCGGCUUCGUGCCAAAGCGUGGCCGUGGCAGCGUUGCAAGAAGAGGUCACAGCCCUUCGAGCAGAGAUCGCCAGCUUGCAGGCUCAACUGGCCAAUUUCAAGAAUCAGGCUAACAAUCAGAGGCAACAGGCUGGCAGCGAGUCGCCCCGUAGAGAAGCACGAGAGACAAGAGGCAACACCAGCUCACCGGAACCUUUGAGUGCACCUUGCUCGCCACUCUUGCCACCCCUGCAGACACCGCCGACAAAGAGCGUAACGAGGGAGGAAGUUCCAGUUCUUAAAAUAGCCGAGAGGGUAAGACUCAGGAGGACCGACGAGAGGCACAUCACAGGACCCGAUAUUACUAAUCUGGGGGUGUGUUCCACGAUGGUGGCCGAGCAUCUAGUGUCAGAUCUUCUGGAACACUCAAACAUUCAAGAAUUGAACGGAUCCGAGAAACAAUUCGAAGUAGAGACGGAAAGAUUGAACAGCAGGUUAGAGCAUGCUCGAACGAACAACGCGGUUCUUGCCUUGACUUUACACGAGAGUAAGGCGCAAUGCGACAGAUUGAGUCUUUUAGUGGGAAAGUACGAAUCGAAUGCGAUUGCAUUACGGUUAGCCCUUUCUUAUAGCGAUCGCGCGAUAGAGGCUUAUGAUGUGUUGGUAGCGUUGCUGGAAAGCGAGAUUGCUCUAUCGACGGAAAGAAAUAGCAUCACGAUCGAAAACAGGAGAGCGGCCGAACAUGUAGCCUGUCAUGUGUUGAAUAAACUAGAAAAUGAAUGUAUGAAUACAUUGAAUGCACCGUGGGAAGAUAGUAUAGUUUUGUCGGACGAAUCCGAAGUGACUUGGUGCGUUGAAGAUGAGCAAAGACUUAGAAGACACAUUAGCAGACUGAAAGGGGAACGAGCUAUGGUUAGAUCGACUGUAGUGGAAUUAGAAAGCGUUCACGCUGAACCACUAAACUCAAAAAACACAAUUUCUCUCGCCGAAGCUCGAAAAUUAGAUUUAGAAACAGCUGUACUUAUGCAGGAAUUAAUGGCUAUGAGAGAGGAUAAGGCAGAGCUACGAGCACGAGUUUUUCUAUUGGAAAAGGAACGAGCUACUAUAGAAUUGAAAUUAAAUGCACGUGAUACGCAAAUUGCAGCUCAGCAUGCCGCCAUUGAACAUCUUCAGGGUCAACUCAGAGAUACAGAGGCCAUGCUGGCAAUGGCUACGAAUAAAGAUCGAGGUUUAAGCGAUAACGAAAGUGAAGGCAUGGAAUCCGAAUUAAUAGAAGCAUUAGGUCGAGAGGCUAGACUAAAAGAACGAUUGCAAGAAUUAGUUUCUACUUUAGAUAAAGUUAAUAAAAAUUCUGAAUUGAGGCAUCAACAAUCAGCUGAGCUUAUUAACGAUUUAAAAAGAGCCAAUGGAGCCUUGGUACAAACUUUAGAGAAGUCUAAGAAAAAAUAUCAAUCCAGAUUAAAGAAAUUGGAACAACAAAUGUUGGGUAUGGUGGAAAGACAUGCUGCUCAGGUAUGAACAAGCAUAAAUGUGAUGUGUGAUAUGAAAGAAGUUAAGAAGAACUGCCAAAAUUGUACUUAAACGUUUGUAAAAUAAUUUAUUAUAUUUUAUAUAUGUUUUUACAUAAAUCCUUCAUAAAUUAUAUCAACAUCAUUCUGAAGAUCUAAAAAGGUAAAAUCUUUAAAACAACGGAUAGCAUUGCUAGAGGAGGAAUCGACAGGAUAUAAAACAAGUUUACCACUUCAAUCACAGAGUUCUGGUGCCAGCGAAACAUCAUUAUGACAAUUUAGUGAUUAAUCGAAAUCGAUUGAUAAAGGCUUUACGAGUGUUUUUACUAUUCUUCCUGUCAUUACAAAACGAUUAAAAUACAGAUAAAAUUUACGUAUUUUUUUAUACCAAUAGUUGCCCAAGAAUAACGCUUGAUUAUUCGCUUUUGUAAUUAUAUAAAAAAAGAAUACGAGUUAGUAGCUAUCCUAAAAUUUAAAUCUAAGCUUAUGCAAAAAUGUGCUAGUGAUACAUCAAUGCGAGCAAACUAUUUAAAAUAGUCCUCCAAGUAUAUUGUGAAUUAUAAAUAAUUGUUAUAUGAUACUAUAUGUCAUUUAUAGACGAUGAUAGUCAUCUUGUAAAUAUGUAUAUUUCAAGCAUUAAAGAAAAGCGUGAUAUGUGUAAACUAUGAUGAAAUAAAUUGUGCUUUAUUAAAUCUUGUAUUGUAGCU